ACAUCCUUCGUUCAAUGGAUAGGACAACGGACUUCUAAUCCGUCAAUACUGGUUCAACUCCAGUAGGGUGUA
rnacentral:tRNA from 2 species